rnacentral:rRNA from 1 species
CGAGCGGAUGAAGGGAGCUUGCUCCUGGAUUCAGCGGCGGACGGGUGAGUAAUGCCUAGGAAUCUGCCUGGUAGUGGGGGAUAACGUCCGGAAACGGGCGCUAAUACCGCAUACGUCCUGAGGGAGAAAGUGGGGGAUCUUCGGACCUCACGCUAUCAGAUGAGCCUAGGUCAGAUUAGCUAGUUGGUGGGGUAAAGGCCUACCAAGGCGACGAUCCGUAACUGGUCUGAGAGGAUGAUCAGUCACACUGGAACUGAGACACGGUCCAGACUCCUACGGGAGGCAGCAGUGGGGAAUAUUGGACAAUGGGCGAAAGCCUGAUCCAGCCAUGCCGCGUGUGUGAAGAAGGUCUUCGGAUUGUAAAGCACUUUAAGUUGGGAGGAAGGGCAGUAAGUUAAUACCUUGCUGUUUUGACGUUACCAACAGAAUAAGCACCGGCUAACUUCGUGCCAGCAGCCGCGGUAAUACGAAGGGUGCAAGCGUUAAUCGGAAUUACUGGGCGUAAAGCGCGCGUAGGUGGUUCAGCAAGUUGGAUGUGAAAUCCCCGGGCUCAACCUGGGAACUGCAUCCAAAACUACUGAGCUAGAGUACGGUAGAGGGUGGUGGAAUUUCCUGUGUAGCGGUGAAAUGCGUAGAUAUAGGAAGGAACACCAGUGGCGAAGGCGACCACCUGGACUGAUACUGACACUGAGGUGCGAAA